GACGUAGGGCGCGAGCGUUGUCCGGAUUUAUUGGGCGUAAAGAGCUCGUAGGCGGCUUGUUGCGUCGAUCGUGAAAACUUGGGGCUUAACCCUGAGCUUGCGGUCGAUACGGGCAUGACUGGAGUUCGGCAGGGGAGACUGGAAUUCCUGGUGUAGCGGUGAAAUGCGCAGAUAUCAGGAGGAACACCGGUGGCGAAGGCGGGUCUCUGGGCCGAUACUGACGCUGAGGAGCGAAAGCGUGGGGAGCGAACAGG
rnacentral:rRNA from 1 species